AUUGAACGCUGGCGGGAUGCUUUACACAUGCAAGUCGAACGGCAGCAUAGAGAGCUUGCUCUCUGAUGGCGAGUGGCGAACGGGUGAGUAAUAUAUCGGAACGUGCCCAGUAAUGGGGAAUAACUAGCCGAAAGGUUAGCUAAUACCGCAUACGACCUACGGGUGAAAGCAGGGGAUCUUAGGACCUUGCGUUAUUGGAGCGGCCGAUAUCUGAUUAGCUUGUUGGUGGGGUAAAAGCCUACCAAGGCAACGAUCAGUAGCUGGUCUGAGAGGACGAUCAGCCACACUGGAACUGAGACACGGUCCAGACUCCUACGGGAGGCAGCAGUGGGGAAUUUUGGACAAUGGGGGAAACCCUGAUCCAGCCAUCCCGCGUGAGUGAAGAAGGCCUUCGGGUUGUAAAGCUCUUUCGAAAGUGAAGAAAACUUAUUUCAUAAUAUGUUAUGAGUAUGACGGUAACUUUAGAAGAAGCACCGGCUAACUACG
rnacentral:rRNA from 1 species